rnacentral:lncRNA from 1 species
UUUUUUUUUUUUUUUUUUUUUUUUUUUUGUCUAUUAUGGCUGCACCCAAGGCCUAUGGAGGUUCCCAAGCCAGGGGUCGAAUCUGAGCUGUAGCUGCCAGCCUACAGCACAGCCACAGCAACAUGGGUUCCAAGCCAUGCCUACAACCUACACCACAGCUCAUGGCAAUGCUGGAUCCUUAACCCACCAAGUGAGGCCAGGGAUCGAACCUUCAUCCUCAUGGAUGCUAGUCAGGUUCGUUAAUUGCUGAGCUGUGACGGGAACUCCCAUCAGAGGACUUUUUAAGCAGGGGGCAUGUUUCAUAGUCAUGUCCUGAGAUUCUUAGGGGCCCCUGUGGGUAUAUUUUGUGGUUCCCCCAAAAGCAGCCUGCCCCUUCGUCUCUUAGACUUCAAUGUAAAACUAAAACCUAUCACUGGAGAGAACAUUUAGGUCAGAGAAAUUCCAGAUGAAGGGGUGGGGAAGGCAGAUUUGUUGUUUGGGAGGUAGGUAAGAAGUGCCCCUUAUGGUAGAGCCAGCCAGUAGUCGUGACUGGGCUGGGGGCUUGAAAGGAGUGGCUUCAAAAGCAGAGUGGUUCUUCCACUGGGGAAUACAAAGGUCAGGAAGCUGAGAACUGCAGACUUUCACGCUGUGUUUACCAUGCAUGAGGCAGAGUUCUUAUAGGUGGCAGCUCUAAGACAUAACUGUAGCCGCCUAUAAGGUGAGUAGUUAUCAUUCCCAUUUUACCGAUGGAGCACAGACAGAUUAAGUCACUUGCCAAUCAGCUACUGAGUGGUAGAGCCAGGAUUUGAAGCCAAGAAAGAAGGGGAGGGAGUUCCAGAGGCUGUGCUCUUAACCCUUUCAAGUGAGGAGAAUGAUAAACCCCACUGCCAUCCUCACCCACCCCGUGCCUCCCAUCCUAGAGUGUCCUGAAUAUCAGGGGACACAUAUGACAUCUCACUUCUCUGGGGUCAGCCAUCUGACUACCCCUCCCCCACCUAGGGUAGAUUCCUACAGUAGAGUUGACCCGUUAGCUUCAUUCAGACAGGAUUUUAACAAGUGGUGCAUUCAGGCCUCCCCACCCAGGACCAAGACAGAAGGUGGGUACCAGGUAAGGGCCAGGCUCCAGGACUGCAGUGAGAAGUGGCUGCUGCCAGUGAGGGAGGGAGGAAAGAGCACCACAGAAGCAGUUAGGGAGUUCCCAUUGUGGCACAGCGGUAAGGAACCUGACAAGUAUCCAUGAGCACAAGGGUUUGAUCCCUGACCUCGCUCAUGGGUUAAGGAUCUGGCAUUUCUGUGAGCUGUGGUGUAGGUCACAGAUGCGGUUCAGAUCUGGCAUGGCUGUGGCUGUGGCUUAGGCUGGCAGCUGUAGCUCUGAUUCAACUCUUAGCCUGGGAACCUCCAUAUGCCACAAGUAUGGCCCUGAAGAACCAAAAAAAAAAAAAAAAAGGCAGCUUAAAAAAUUGCAUGAUUUUUUUUUAGGGCAGUAAAGGCUCUUUACAGAUGAUGAGUCCUAGGUGCUCAGAAGGGCAGAGCCAACCUACGCAGGGACCGAGGGACAAUCCAUAGCUAGGCGUGAAGGGGCAACAGGGAGGUGAUCUCAGAGCCAGCAGUGAAGACAGAGGCAAGGGUCAGAAGUGGAGUGAUGGGGGUCUGGGGAAGGAGAGCCCCCCACCCCCCAGCCCAGGCAGGGCAGCUGUAGGGAGGAGGAACGUGGUUGGGCUUUGGUUUCACAAAAUGAAGCCUGGAUAGGGUGGGGUCUGCCCAUCCUGAUGGAUGGGAGUGUAGGGUCCCUGGCUUCUUUGCUGCUCCCUGCCACUCUAGCUGCUGGGCUCCUUAGUUUGUGCAAAGAUGGGAAAGUAAGAGGAAGGAAACACAGGCCAGAAGCAUGAGCAAAAACGUGAAUGUGGCCAGGGCCAGGCAGACACUCAAGCCCCUUGUCCCCUCUCAGACCUCACUGGCUCACACCUUGGGUGGGUGUGGGCAGGCACCCAGCCUUGGGGUUCUGUGGGGGGAGGUCAAGCUGAGCGGCGUGUUUGACCCCUUGGAAGCCCCAUCCCUGGUCCCUGGACUUGGGUUCUGAGUGUGGUUUUGCACAGCAUCCGCUCCGAGCUUUGUAGGCAUGGGUGCUUUGGGUCUGACCUACCUGGUGCUGGGCUGUGGCUUUGGGCCUGGCCUUCAGAACAUUAGAGGCCAGCUCUGUUUAGCCCCUGCAUCUGAAUUGCCUCAGUCUGACCAUAAUUUCCUCAGCCAGGUCCUGAGGUGGGGCUUCCCAGGCCUGAUCCAAGCUUCCCCAUGCUGUUCAGAGAUGAGCAUGUAUGAGAAAUUUCCCCAGUUUGAGCUUUGGGGAGAGGCUGUGUUACAGUCAGGCUUGAACCCCCAGCGUCAGGCAGCACCAGGCACUGAAGGGCUGGAGGAAAGCUGGGAGCCAGCAAAGAAGCACAGUGGUGUGGACACCUGGAAGGUGCUCUGGACUUGGACUUGGUGGGCAUAUCCCUAGAGGUCCCUUAGUUGCAUUUGCCAUGGCUGACCCCUGAUGGCACUGCCCUUCUCAGUUCUUAGGCCUCUUCUCCCACCCCAAGGGCCCGCCAGUUGGCCAUCCUGCGUGGUGGGUCUAAGGGCUUUUUUUUUCACGAGGGGCUGGAGAUGCAGGCAGGCCCAUGAUGGGCCCUGGAAGAGCAGGGACCCAGCCUGGACAGGCAGGCAGGGCAGGGCUCCGUGGAGGAAAAGGAACUGGGGGCUCCUCUGAGCAGGCAGAGCUGGAGGCUGGGUUUAGGCUUAAAAUAGUCACUUCUUAGCUGUUUUGCAUCUUAUCCACAGUAACAUGUCACAAUCCCAGGCUUCCCUUCAACACUCCCUGAAGGAAAGCACAAAGCUGAGAGCGGAAGCCGCUGCAUGGAGAAGCUGAGUGCAUCAGAAACCCUGCAGAUAAGCCUGAUGCAUAGGCUUUGGCACAGGCCCCCGGGUGCUGCAGAGGAGUGGGGGCUGGGGAGGAGCUCAGGGGUUAACCAUGAGGAGUGGGUACGGCUGGAGACCCCAGAUGCCCUGGGUGGGGUCAAAGAACUCCAAGUGGUGUGGUGUGCUCAAGACAACUGAAAUUGAAAUAAUUUGAUGAUGCGUGACAGAGAAGGGAACUCAGCCUCCACCAGUUAGGGCACCACCAGUAAAGAAGGCAGGUCAGGGCCUAUGAGCCCCAUCAGUUUAGAAAGCUGGAGGGUAGGCCAAGGGGUGUAGGGGGUGAAGGAACCGAAAUGGGGAGGGAGAGUUGGGGAGGGCAGCAAAUCACAAGUGACAGCAGCAGGGACGGGAGAUCCAGGGCCAUCAUCGCACACCCCUGUCCAGUGGUUUGUCCUGUGUCACCUACCCUGCAGGGCUACUAAAGGCUUCAUGUCCCCUGAAGCAGCCUCACUUUGGCCACAUGUGGCCUCUUGGGAGCAAAGCAGAGGGAGUAAGGUGAUUAGGAAAUGAAACCAGGAGUGCCAGGGUGUGUUUGUAGAACCCCAAGAGUAUUGAUGCGAUUUACUCUAAAUCUCAAAACUUAAAGUGUUCAUUUUCUGAAGGUUCCGAGGAAAGAGGGUUGAGGCACAGUGGAAGGGGAGAGGAUCACACCUCACACCCUGGGAGCUCUUUUAUUGAAGGCACCCUUCCCCAUGCGGCGGGACCGGACAGGGUGGGAGGGCCAAGUGGCUGUCGGUGUGGACUCUACUGGGCCGCAAGCUGUUUCGCGGAUGGACCCCAGGGAUACAGCGGUAACUUUAGCCAGUCUGUGACCCACCCAGCCGAACAGGGCCACCCUGUCAGGCUGCCCCCCAACCCCAUCCCACCCCACCCCACCCCACCCCUGCUGGUCCACAGGCUGAAGCCACCGGAAGGUUGGGGAGGCAGGCAUCUGGGCAAGAGAGAAAAAAUCCAGGGUGAUGAAAAGCAGAGAGCGUGCUUGCCGGCCAAGGUGGUUUGAGGGGCUGUUUCAUUAUUUUUUUUCUGGCCUCCUCGCCAAAUGGCCUACACCCUCCCUCCUCUUCCCAGCGCAUGACGGAUGCCCUUAGUGGCCCUGUGUGAGGUUCUGCUGCUGUUCACAGUGUAUCACGUGUCUUCAUAAACAACCUUGCGUGCGUGCGCGUGCGCAUGCGUGCGUGCGUGUGCGUGUGUGUUGACGUGCCCAUGUCGUUUGUCUGCUGGCUUCCUCCAUCCUUUGAGUUUUUUUUCAGUUCUCCUAUAAUUUGACUGGUGUUCUCUCAUCAGAGCUUUUAGAUUGAUGCUGUGGUCUGGUGCUGUAUAAACCUUUUAAUUUUGUUUUAACUUCUUCCUUGCCCUUCUUCACCCUCAACCCUACUCCCCCCCAUCCCCCCACACUCNNNNNNNNNNNNNNNNNNNNNNNNNNNNNNNNCCCCCCCUUGCCCACACUCUUGUCCUCUCUUUCUCUCUCUCUACAUAUAUAAAUAUAUAUAUAAAUCUUUUCUUCUUUUGUCAUUCAAUCAAAUUCCAACAACCCAACCAGGGCCAGUCAAAUCCACCACAGUCUCGCGCUGAGCUAGGAAUAAAGUUCACGUAAUCACAUGAGAGUGGAGAAAACAGUCCCCCAUCCGGCAGGAUGCUGAACGGGCUACAUUAAAAACAAACCUCUCUCUAUAUAUAUUUAUAAAUGAGAACUGUUGGAUGACACCUUUGACAUAUCAGCCAAUAUCAAUCAAGCUGAAGACUCCAGACACUCUGUGACUGUCGCAUUUCUUCAAGGAAAGUAUAGCGUCUAUGGAGUUCAGAGGGCACGUGUUUGGGGGAAAAAAUAUAUAUAUAUAUAUAUGACAUAAAGAAGAAGAAGAUGAAGAAAAAUGAGAAAAACAAAACAAAAAAGGCAACUUUCAAACAAAAUCACUUGAGACAAGAUGGGGAGGCUGCAGGGCUGGGAACUGGGAAGAGCCGCUGCUUCCCAAUCCCAGGGCUUUUUCAGCCCGUGGGCGCCUGAGGCAGGCUGGGGCAAGCGGUGUGGUGGGACCUGGUCCCCAGGGGGCGGCUGGGAGGCCGCCACUGAGCAUCUCUAUCUGUCAUUCCUUUAGCUAUUUAGGGACCAAAGGACCAAACUUUUUAUUGCAGAUGUGUAGCUCUAGGUCAAAUAGAGGGGAGAACCGAGGAGAACCUCCUCUUGCCUCAUGGCUGUUCUUGAAACAGCUUAGAGCGAUUCUAUGAAAAAUGUAAUUUAAAAAAGACAAAAAAAAAAAAACAAAAACAAAAAA